GACGAACGCUGGCGGCGUGCUUAACACAUGCAAGUCGAGCGGUAAGGCCCUUUCGGGGGUACACGAGCGGCGAACGGGUGAGUAACACGUGGGUGACCUGCCCUUAGCUCUGGGAUAAGCCUGGGAAACUGGGUCUAAUACCGGAUAUGACUCCAUGACGCAUGUUGUGGGGUGGAAAGCCUUGUGCGGCUAGGGGAUGGGCCCGCGGCCUAUCAGCUUGUUGGUGGGGUGAUGGCCUACCAAGGCGACGACGGUAGCCGGCCUGAGAGGGCGACCGGCCACACUGGGACUGAGACACGGCCCAGACUCCUACGGGAGGCAGCAGGUGGGGAAUCUUGCGCAAUGGGACGAAAGCCUGACGCAGCGACGCCGCGUGA
rnacentral:rRNA from 1 species